CAGCAGCCACGGGAAUACAGAGGCCUCAAGCGUUGUUCGGAUUCAUUGGGCGUAAAGGGUGCGUAGGUGGCUUGGUAAGUUGAAGGUGAAAUCUCGGGGCUUAACCCCGAAACUGCCUUCAAUACUGCUAGGCUCGAGGACUGUAGAGGAGAAUGGAAUUCACGGUGUAGCAGUGAAAUGCGUAGAUAUCGUGAGGAAGACCAGUGGCGAAGGCGAUUCUCUGGGCAGUUCCUGACACUGAGGCACGAAGGCCAGGGGAGCAAACGGGAUUAGAGACCCGCGUAGUCCCUGUCUCUUAUAC
rnacentral:rRNA from 1 species